rnacentral:rRNA from 1 species
UACGAAGGGGGCUAGCGUUGCUCGGAAUGACUGGGCGUAAAGGGCGCGUAGGCGGCUCAUACAGUCAGAUGUGAAAUUCCUGGGCUUAACCUGGGGGCUGCAUUUGAUACGUGUGGGCUUGAGUGGGGAAGAGGGUCGUGGAAUUCCCAAUGUAGAGGUGAAAUUCGUAGAUAUUGGGAAGAACACCGGUGGCGAAGGCGGCGACCUGGUCCUUGACUGACGCUGAGGCGCGAAAGCGUGGGGAGCAAACAGG